AACAUUAAUAAUAUUUAGUGUUUGUUUUAAUAAUGUCAUUAUAAAUAUUAUCUUUCAUUGUUUGUAUAUUAUAUUGUCGAAUACUUACAUCCAAAUUGUACUUGUACCGGAACUAAGGGCAAUAUAUUUAUGUUGAAGUUAAUGUGAAGAAACUCUAAUAUAUAUCAAAGUAUUUAUUGAAAUUUUCAAUAUUCCGAAAAACUCUUUAUGAAUUUGAAUGUCCCACAAAAGUGCCUUACAAAUGUUUGAAAGUACGAUAACGACGCCUAAAAAUGUAUUGAACAUCCAUGCUUUACCGUUGGAGGAAUGUACGAGUGCAUUUAUUAUAACGAGAAAGCCAGUCUUGUUGAUAACAAUGGGUCAAUGGAUCAUUGUCGAGUUUCUCCAAAUAUCUUAUAAAGGACAUAAUCGCUUUUAACAUUGAUUGCAGUUUCGCGGACUUCAUCGUCGAGGCUAUCACCUGCCAAUUACUGAGGUUGGGACUUCUGGAAAUGCAAAAGCACAUACGAAAUAAAAAUGUGUUUAAUAUCAAAAAUAAUUAAACCGAAAGAUGUCAGGGUGUAUACGUUUAACUGGAGCUGCGAUCUAUUUAGUGUAGUUAUUUUUGAACUUAGCUUACUCGAUUGUCGUUUUUGACUACAGUAGACAAACCAUUUGCCUGAAAGAAUUAAAAUCAAUUCCUACUGAAAGAUAUAUAAGGACCACUACAAAAGUUUUUAAAAAAAAAAAAUACUU